UUGGCUUUUCUGCCUUCAGCCUUAUCAGCCACUUACAGCUGCGGGCUCAGAAAACCCGAUUUCUGCGUGUUCCACCCUGGAGGACAGGAAGAUUCAAAGCGACAGAACCUCCUCAAUAAAACACAAUAGAUUCUUCUUCCAUCCGUUGAAGGUCCGACCUUGCCGUCAUGCUCCUAAUGGUCCACGUUUGCACUCUGCCAUGAUGCCCAGGGACAUUUGGCUGGAGAUGGACAAAAAUUAUUACAAGGGAAAACAAUACCAGUUUUGUGCAGGCUCAUGCUUUUCUGAGGCGGUCAGAGCAAGAGCGGUGACUCGGUUCUCAUUGGGAUGAUGCCUCUUGUGUUUACAGUCCUCAGGCUGUCACCGCAUAGAAAUAAGCUGUAAGGGGGAAACGCUUGUUCAGCAUUACACAAUUUUGUGUUUUAGUCAUACUUUAAAAUUAAAUCAAUAUAUUUUCCUGUCAUAUUUAUAUAUUUUAGUAUUUUUAUAAAGGACUGAAACAAAGUGUAGUUUUAGCUAAAGGAAACAUCAUUAGUAAAACUGAAAUAAUGUGAAUGUCCAUUUAAAAUGACAUUAUUGUUUGUAAUGGAGUGUAAAAUUAAACUCAUGGCACGAUUUUAUAUGAUGCAAUGCUGAUUAAACAAUUGUUAACUAUAAAAGAAAACUUUGUGAGCCCUCAAGGUUGUUUUCUUUUUAUUUAUGCUCUACAGUUCAACGUGACAUU
rnacentral:lncRNA from 1 species